GUUAUGAAGUAGAAACAGUUUGUAAGAAAGUAGAUAAAGAUUCUAGCAGGCGAGGAGAGCUGCUGUUCCUGCUCUUGCUCCCUCGCAUUCAAAGCCGUCGCCUUUUUGUGCUUCUGUUAAUGGGUUUUCGACCAAAUUCUCAGAGGCCCCUUGAAGUGAAUCAAGUCUAAUUCUUUUGCAAACCAAGACAUGUGGGCAUCUUCUGAUGUCUUGUGGGGAACCAGAAUUCAAUAUUCUGUGCUGCCAUUUUCGCCAAGCCAGCAAUGUAGAAAAUGUACGGGGAAGUCCAAACCUCGUUACAGGAGAAAGCCGGUAUUUCAGUCAUGGAUGGGGAAUAGAUCUCGACGGUUCCUCCUGCCUGCUUUACCAAGAGUGGUUUCACAGAUGAUGAGAAGAUUGCAAGAUGCUCUGCAAGUUACUACUUGGCGUGCAACUUGUUCUUCGGUGAUUGCCAUAUCUCUC